GUGCUGCUGCUGUGGGAAGUCCUCGGCCGCCUCCCCACGUCCGGUGUGUCUCCAAAGGGGUCGGCAGCCUGGGCAGCGCCGGGAUCGGGGCCGGGCCCUGCAGAGCAGCCGUGCCCCAGCCUUUCACCGCGGCGCAGGUCACCACCUGCUCGAGGGAGGCAACACAGCCCUCCCUGCCGUGUUGGCCUUUGCUGAAAUUGAAGUGUCUCUUGGCUCCAAGCCAUGUGAAAGCUUUGAAGCAUGUGGGUUAUGGGCACUGGGUUUGGCCACCCCUUUAGUCGACAGUGUAAGAAAGAGCACUCGGUUCAGCACCGCAAGCUGUGCUGUUCCUCCUACACCAGUCAGAUCACGUCCAGUGCUCACACUGGUGCGUGGUGUAUAUAAAACCUCACGGAAAUUAAGAGGUCCUUCUACUGAGAGUCGUAAAAGGAACUCUGCUUAAUUCUGGGUCAGAUGACUGAUAAAUAUUAUCAAUGAGUAAGAUCUGCAAUUUGUCUAAAGGAAUAUGGACAAAAUCUUUAAAGAUUCAGCGGUGCUCAGUAUGUCAAAACACUUGAGCAGCUUGUAAGAUCAGAACCCAAAAGCCAAGCAAGGAUGCAGCCACCUGGGAGGCUGAUUAGGGCUUUCUAGGUUUGACUGAGAAGGGAACAGAACAAGGACACCUAAGAAAGAUUCUGAUUUCAGCCUGUUUAAAACUGGUUCACUGAUGUAAGUAAUCACAUCCUGCCCUCUGUUUCUGCAGGUACCUGAAACACUGGUCCAAAGAAAGAUUCUCAUCCAUGCCAUAUUUUGGAGGGUCAUGUAGCAACAGCAAUGAACACAUGACAGCCAAAAAAUUAAAAGGCAACACAGGUACCUGUUUGAAAGUACUCUUCAUCAUUUCAACACUCACCUUAUCCUAAUUUUCUCCAUCUCCUCCUCACUUUGGGUGAACUUUGUCUCACAAAAAGAUAAGAAAAAGAUUAUGCACCAAAUUAUUCAGCUGACUCCUGAUUCUGACACUCGGCAAGGAAAGUGGUAUGUAGAUGUUAUCUAUACAAGGUGAACUUUAUCUUGCCUUUCACCACCCAAUUUUAAAUAAAAUAUAUAUACUUAUAACAUUUCUGUUAAUGUUGCCCGUUUCACCUUGUUGUGGGGUUUUUUGUAUCUCUGAACUUCUUACAGUUUCCUAGAAUUUAUAGUUCCAGAGUAAUUUAGAUCAGUAGGAAAAAUAAACUGGUAGUGUUACUUUAAGUGCAUCCUUAUCAAUGAGAAACACAGCUCAGCGCUGAACUGUCAUAUCCAGCUUUACAGCAGCAGUGUACAUCAAAAGUUAGCCUGCUCUAUGUUAUAAAAAGUUUUUGGGGGAGAAAGAAGUCACAGUUCCUUGGGAUAUUUAUAGUAUUUAAGAAUGCUUUUAAGUAACUUGUAAUGGCAGAUGCCAUAGGGUACUCUGUCAUAAGUGGUUUUCCUAUUCAUAACAAGUAAUGCAUAUUAUGGUGCGUUUCAAGCCAGGCCCACAGUAAA